UCACUCAAAACGAUCACCCAAAACCUCCCCCAGAGCCAAGUCAGACCUCCCCCCCACAAGCUCAUAGUUACCCAUCAUAUUCCUCUUUCCUUCUCCUCCGCCCCCCAUAAUCUCCCCUCUCCCCAAACAUCAUCCCAAAUCCCCCCCCAUCCCUCGAUCACUUCCUCCCCCACCCCACACACCGAGAGGAGGAGGACCAGGAGGUGUUACAGGGCAAGAGAUGAAGAGGCAGCCCAGGGCGUCACUUCCUGCCACUGUUCUCCCUGACGCUGCAGGGAAGGGCGAGGGCCAGGACACACGCCCAGACCCUGGAGUGCCCGCCGCUGGAGCCACGGGAGGCGGGCACCGGGGAGCUGCUGGAAGGUGAACAGCUGACCAAAGGGUGAUUCUGGUUAUCCUCUGGAGCCCUUCCUAAUGACACCAGUGAGCCAACCAACAACUGAUGCUCAUCGUGCCUAUAACUGCAGCCACUCUAGGACACGUGUUGUGGUGGAACAGACUUUUGCGGUGGUGGUCCAGCUCCUCUCUCACAGCUGGAUAGCCGGCCACGAUCGGCCAGAUGACGUCCUCGUUGGGCCACCUACUUCUCCCCUCAUGACUGUCAGCUUCAAGGAUAAAAGCAGGCUACUUGAGGAGGAGGAGGAGGACCCAAUAACCACCCAGCCCGGCCCCAGACAGUCAGCCCCUGCACCAGCUACUGCUUUCUCCUCAACCAACCCUCAGGCAGUUCCAGCUCCACACACACAGCUCUCUUGGACAGAGUGGAGUCUAAGGCUCUUCAUCUCAUCAACUCCCCUCCUCUUCCUGACAGUCUCCUAACUCUUAAAUUCCGCCACCAUGUUGCAUCUCUUUCUAUCUUCUAUUGACAUUUUCACGCUGACUGCUCCUCUGAAUUUCCAGACUGCAUGCCUCUGCCCCUCCCGCAGCCUUGCCGCACACAACUUUCUACUCUUGCUCAUCCUUAUGCUAUGCAAGUCCCUUAUGCAAGAGUUAUCUAUCAUCUUCAUUCUCUGAUCCCUUUGACUGGUAAACUCUGGAACAGCCUUCCUUUGUCUGUAUUCCUCCUGCCUAGGACUUGACCUCUUUCAAGAGAGGAGUAUCAAAACACCUCUCCCCCGCUGCUGGUGACUCUCUCUUUUGGCCACUUAGCAAUCAGUCAUUGGGGGCGUACGCUGGGGACGCGUUGCCCCGCCCACCCUACGCCGCCAAGCCCGGGGGUCACACAUGCCAUAGUCUGUUUGGUGGAGCAGCGCUCAGCAGGGUUUUUCAUUGUAUGCUGUUGUUACCCUCAAGCUCCUUCCAUUGCUGGAAAAACAAAUAUAACAACAUUAAUGCACACCACCUCCAUAGUGUGCACCCUGCUCCUGUGUGUUCCUGUGGCCAGUGUGCCACAACUCCCCUCCCUGCAAUUUGAAUGACUUGAUUACUACUACUACUACUACUACUACUGCUACAGGUCCUGGAUCCUGCCACAACUGAGCUGUGGUUCGCCAGCAAGGAACUUCAGUGUGACAAAAAACUGAGCGACUACCCGGGGACUAACGAGAAGACCAAAGCGUGGCGCGCUGAGCGUGGCAGGCAGCGGCUGUGUCCUCCUGGGUGCUGAGGUCCAGCGGCUGUGUCUGCAGGGCAGGAGGGGACACAUGUGCUCCCGGCAGGUCACCUGUCCCACUGGCCUGCACACAGUGGCGGGACAGUCCAGCCUUCAGCAGCGGUCUGUUGGGGAGAACAGAGGAUGUUACCCAACACAGAAAAGGAAAUUUCAGCUUCUCAAGAGUGAGAGAAACAGUCUACUGAAGUCUUUCCUGUUCAUCAGUCACUUUGGGUGUGACUGGUGGGAUUAGCGGAGAGGCCACGGCAUCGCUGCCACUCUCUCUCUCUCUCUCAUGUUGAUAACUGAACUUAAACGUUGUGUACAUUUCAUUAUGACAAGACCAAAUAGCUCUACGAAAGAUUGGUUUUCUAGGGACAAAAGUCAGCGCUCCAGUCACCUAGGCCUUGGUUAGCCAGAUCACUUCAGACCUUUACCUCAUGGCCCAUGGCCGGUGUUCCUCCGAAGGCACCUUGGAUGUCAGGUCAACUGGUAACCAAGUCAACCCACACCCCAGGUUAACUGGUAACCAAGUCAACCCACACCCCAGGUCACCUGGUAACCCUUGCAUUGGUAAUGCAUUGUGGGAUUUGCCUUCCACUCUCAGGUCACAGCAGCCACCCUGGAGCAUGUACGCCUCCACUCAGUGCCUUCCCCCCCCCCCCCCUAGCUGGUGUUCUGUCAUAUAUUUGAGUGUUUCUGUACUCAGGAACCCUCAAGCCAUCUUAUAUAAAACACAAACGUGCUGAUUUGCAUCGACAACACACCAAACAAGCACACGAAAAACAAGCUUGUGUCAAACAGUUUAGUCAGAUCACACUCCAAGGAUUCAUGGCCUUUCAAACACCUAUAAUUCAUCUCAUUGCCUGUGCCAUGACAGGCUGGGGCCGACUACCAUCUAGGCCCCUCAAGAAAAGCCUACCGGCACUAUAGGCAUACACAUAAAAAAAUAAAAAAAUAAAAAUAAAAAAGUAAAAAAUAAAUAGACGUCUGGCUCUGCAAGUGCCUGUACUUAAGGAAUUUUGGUAAUUUACUGCAUUUAAAUAACAUUGGGCAAUAUUCAAAACAGCCUGGCCUCACAUUCAACAAUAUUUCACUUCAUUUCAAAGAUUAACCGUGAUUUACAGGCAACAAAUUAUUGAAAUACAUAUUAUUUGCACUUGCAGAGCCAGAUGUCUUUUAGUGCACCUGAAAUGAGAUUACUUCCAGGCCUCUGAAGGGCCCUGGAGGGUUGGAGUAUGGCCUCACUGUGCAGCGUGACACAAGCCUGUUUUUUGUGUGCUGCUGUGGUGUAAUAGCAAUGCAAAGGCAUCUUUGGGAUUUAUAAGGAGUGAGGGUUUUUGUGUAUGCAUAAACACUCAAAUAUAUUAUUGAGAAAUUAGCUUGAAUAUCUAUCAUAAGUUGGUUUUCGCAUAUUCAUGAACCAGAAAUGUGCAGGUGCCACAUCUAUCAAAACUCCCACUGUGUUGACGGACAGAUGAAAUGAAACCAACUCCAGGAGCUGAGGCACACAUAAGGAUUAGAUAUAUGUAUAUUAGAUACUGUGUGUGUGGUUAAGUGACUGAGCCGGUUCAUGUUGUCUGUGACACACAUUACAGGAAGGUUCUGUUUGGGCAGAAUAGUAACCUGCCAUCACUAGGAGCUGAGGCACACAUAAGCAGUGGCAGAUACAGCUCCAGGUGAAGGGGGCUGAUAUACAAGAUGGGCGCCAUACCAU